rnacentral:pre_miRNA from 1 species
UGGCAGUGUAGUUAGCUGGUUGUGAAUAUAAUUAAACAACCACUAUCUGCACUGCUCCA